CUGUUAAAUUACCAGGUUAUUACUUUGCAUCUGAGUUCUUGAGGGCCCCCUUCCUUACCACUGACUUCUUCUAUAUCUGGGGGAAUAUAGUAGUUCAUGUCAGGAUAGCUUCAGUUUGGUCCAUUCUUGAGUUAAGAUUUGGAACGGACUCUCUGUUACUUCUCUUUUUCCGAAACAGAUGGCAGGAGCUCUGGCCAUUCAUUUCCAAGAGAGAAGCAAAAUUACGCCCGUCCAAGAAGGACACCUGAGAUAAUAUGGCUUAGUGCUUGCUUAGGAAUGCAAAUUUAUGCCCUUUUCAUGACUUACUAAUUAAGCGCAGGGUCAAAAUCAGCACCUGAAUAACUAACUGUUAGCUAGACGAGAGUCUAGCAGCACCUGAAAACAGGCAGCAGCAGGCCCUGGGAAACUCAUCCAUAUCUGAACGAAACCAAGGGUUAGGUUGGUUCACUCUGUAAAUUGGAUUGGAUAUACAAAACCGGUAAACAACGACCUUAUCUUUCGAAGCAUAUAUGACCCCCUGUCUCUGUGUAUGAUCAAAAGUCGAGUACUGAAUCCACCUAUCUGUUUCCCGUGGGUAGUUGACUUUGAUGGCUCAUACACGUGUCGCACUUGAAUAACAGCAUGCCUUGGCCCGCAUGGCGGUUUUCAGGCAUUCAUUAUCUACUUUAUCCAUUUUCAGCACUGCAGGCGUGUACGUACGUUCCUUGAGAGUGAUUGCCACCCACUAUAAUGCAUUGCAUGGUCGUCAGUCUAACAUGCAUGCACGCGUCCGUUAUGAUGAACUGCAUGCAAAUCAAUUCCAAGGGAGCAGGGAAGCGGAUGGAUCGGAUGGCUCAUUUUGCCUGUUUUAAAAGCGAGGAAAAAGUUGAUUACAAAGGGGGUUAAAACUCUCUUUGUGGUACAAGAGCAGCUACUAGAGUAUACUUAUUCAAGAUUGGUCCGGAAGCCAACACCGAACCAUCACCGAGUAACGAACGUCCGGGAGCAGAGUGUCGUCCACCUGGCAGAAGUUGUGUGCGCCUAGCAGGCCGGGCGUCCCGUCCUUGGAUCCAAGCAGGUUCACCCAUCAGUCGGCGGCGGAACUUCACCUUGAACUCGUCCCAAGGCCCACCCGGGCUUAGCUUGUCUGGACCGCUCCCACCGGAACUCCGGCCGAAGCUCGAAAUGGUGGAUAGCUUGACUUCAUCAGUGGCGCGUCCACCGUGGCGUGGUGAUGAGGGCGCCCGGAUUGGAGAAGAAGACGAGGACCGCAGCUAUAGAGAGGGCGCCGGCGGUGCGGGUGCGACUGCAUGGCAGGCGCCUGAAUCGGUUGGUGAUUGCGGGAGCAACAACCAAAUAGCCGUUCCUACAAGUCAGCGGCGGCUGUAGAUGCGCGCGCUCUCUCUCUCCCUAUAUAGGCUAGCGUUAAUCUAUAGUACCCUGGUAUGGAAUAGUUAUUCCAUACUCUAACUCACAAACAAAAUAAGUAUGAUCCUAAAUACU